UUUCCUUGUCGGGAUUUAUCCGUAUAUAAUUAUAACAACACAUAAGUUUGGUUGCUUCUCAAAUUGAUUUUUUUUUUCUUUUUUGUUGUUGUUCUGUCCAAAGAUUGUUAAAAGAUCUAUGUGAUUGCCGCCUAGAUUUCAACGUCGGCCAAAUUUUUAUCACAUGUAUUCAUGACGACUAUAGCAAUUUUAUUUGUUGGCUAUAUAUUUCUAUUAUCAUCAGUUUUGAUCUAUUAGAUCCGAAUUAAGGACAUCUUAUAUGUGACUAGUUUUUUGUUUACUAUAUAUAUACUGUACUAUGAAAAGUCAUUUACUUAAUGAUAUGGACGACGUGUGGCUAGUGUUAUAGAUGUUACUUUUUGUCUGGUUUAAUUUUACAAGAUUAAAAAAAAAACAAAAAAAAAUUGGUUUGAGACAGUAUUAAUUGGUGAUCAUGGGACUUGAUUAGCUGUGAUGUUCCGUCUAAUUAUACGUACCAUUCCAUGACCAUUAACGUCUGCUUUGGAUCUGGUUCUGGUUCUUG
rnacentral:lncRNA from 1 species